rnacentral:rRNA from 1 species
GACUCUCGGCAACGGAUAUCUCGGCUCUCGCAUCGAUGAAGAAGGUAGCGAAAUGCGAUACCUGGUGUGAAUUGCAGAAUCCUGCGAACCAUCGAGUCUUUGAACGCAAGUUGCGCCCGAGGCCACUCGGCCGAGGGCACGCCUGCCUGGGCGUCA